rnacentral:rRNA from 1 species
UUAUUAUCUAUUUACUGUGAACUGUAUUAUUAUUUGACAUUUGAGGGAUGUUCCAAUGUUAUAAGGAUAGACAUUGGAAAUGUUAACCGAGUCAUAAUCAGGUUUAGGCCUGGUAUCCUAUUAUUAUUUACCAAAUGAAUUCAGAAUUAAUAUUGUAACAUAGACCUAAAAAAUCUAUAAAACAACUUUUAACAACGGAUCUCUUGGUUCUCGCAUCGAUGAAGAACGUAGCAAAGUGCGAUAACUAGUGUGAAUUGCAUAUUCAGUGAAUCAUCGAGUCUUUGAACGCAACUUGCGCUCAUUGGUAUUCCAAUGAGCACGCCUGUUUCAGUAUCAAAACAAACCCUCUAUCCAACUUUUGUUGUAUAGGAUUAUUGGGGGCCUCUCGAUCUGUAUAGAUCUUGAAAUCCCUGAAAUUUACUAAGGCCUGAACUUGUUUAAAUGCCUGAACUUUUUUUUAAUAUAAAGGAAAGCUCUUGUAAUUGACUUUGAUGGGGCCUCCCAAAUAAAUCUUUUUUAAAUUUGAUCUGAAAUCAGGCGGGAUUACCCGCUGAACUUAAGCAUAUCAAUAAGCGGAGGAAUAGGAUCAUUAAAUAAUCAAUAAUCUUGGCUUGUCAUUAUUAUCUAUUUACUGUGAACUGUAUUAUUAUUUGACAUUUGAGGGAUGUUCCAAUGUUUAUAAGGAUAGACAUUUGGAUAUGUUAACGGUCUAAUCGGUUUAGACUGGUAUCUAUUAUUAUUUACAAUGAAUUCAGAAUUAAUAUUGUACAUAGACUAAAAAAUUAUAAACACUUUUACAACGGAUCUUUUGGUUCUGCAUCAUAAAAAGUAACAAGUGCAAUAACUCAGCUGGUGAAAUGCACUAUCCGUGAUCAUCAGU